CCAUUGAGCUUGAAAUCUCCAUCCAUGGAGAAUCUCAAAGAUAUGUCAUCGACAUCACCUAGAGAAUCACUUAUAGGCUCUUCUGGAACUUUCAUUAUGUCGAGACUACUGGUUGGGUGUCGGUUUCUGCAGUGUUCAACAUGGGAAAGGUAGUUACGGCAGUGCUCUGGCCAUGAGAAACGGUGGAUGUUCUUGAGACCGUUCUUUCUGCACUCAGCCCAGAGAUGUUUGUUAGCUACGAGCUUUAGAAGGGCAUCAGAAAUGGCUUGUUGAUCAUGUGGGUCGACUAGGAGACCAUUGUUUAGUGCCUGGUCACAUACAUUAUGUUAAAUUUAGCUUUCCGAAUCAGUGAGGUUUGUUUUUAUAAUAAAGAGAUUUGAUUACCUUGACGAUAUCAACAGGCCCGCCAUUUUUGGUGGCAACAAUGGGCAGACCAUAAGCAGCUGCCUGUCAUACAUAAAUGAUAAAUGGUGGGAGCAUGAAGAGAGGUAAAGAAACAUAACCUAGGAAUGAAUCUGGUUACCUCAAUGAGCGUGAGACCAAACGGCUCUACCAGAGCUGGAUUAAUGAAAACUCCCUUCAAGAGAAAAAAAGGCCACCAUAAGAGAAGGAGGCAACAGCAAGAAUCAUAUAGUAUUAUAGGAUUUUCCUGUGAAGUACCUUUGUUUUGGCUGCUAAACGAUAAAUAUCUGGAACUUCAGAUUGUUUGUGAUGCUUGGGAUAAGCUACUUGGCCGUACAAGUCAUACUGGUCUAUCAGCUUUAGGACACUCAUGAGAACAACUGAACUGCUAUUAGACAUCUCUUCAAUGUCAUCUCGGUUUCCUAGUAUGAGUGUCUGGAACAGGGAGGUUCUUUAUUAGGAAAUAAUUUAGCAAGGCUGUACCCAUUAAAUUAUGUCAGAAGGACACUGUAAUAAUAAGGUAAGAAAUGCUGAGAUACUUACCAAGUUGGCUAGUUCUCGAAGAGGCUGACAUUCACCAAAAGCUUUGAGCAAUGUGGUGACGUUUUUCUUGGGGUCUGGUCGAGACAGCGCAAGUAUGGUUGGCUUAUGAGGAUUUGUGAAAAACCGCAUUAUCUGCAGAUCAUAGGUUAUAUGAAAGGCAUGGAAACAAACACAAGACUGUAAUCUUUCUUUCUUGCAGAAAUGAACACAAAAAAAUAAAUAAAGAAAUACCUCAGACCAUAUUGGAGGUACAGGCUUUUUAAUCUGGUUUCGGUCAGGGCCAAUUAGCGACUUGAGAUCUGCAUCAGCAUCUUGUGAAUCUUGUGUCAAGACGUCAUGGUCUGGACAGUAUACUAAACCUGACUGCUUGCAAUCUUGAUGCACAUAGUGGUAUAACAUUUAUCCUUGUCGCAGCAUGUGUAUAGACAAUGUUGCACCUUAAACCUCUCAUCCGAAGCCUCUGCCUAAGGUCAUCAACUCUUCGAGUCUGCCAUUCACACACGUAGACUUUUAAUAUGUUUUUAAGCUGAGAAAUAUGUUUUUUAUUUUUUAUAGAAAAGAAAUGUUACCUCGACUCCUUGUUUGACAGAAAUUGCAUAGCACCUAGUACUGCAUGCGCUUGUAUACUCUGUGAUAUCGUCUUCUGUUUCAGGUUCUGUACAAGCUAGUCUCAGAAUCACUGACCUUAGACUUUCACCAGGCCAUUUGUAUUCCACAUGAGCUUCAUAGUCUGCAUCAACCUCCAUAUCUCUCCAUGGAUAGUAGAUCUCACUUCCGCUGUUACAAACUAUUGCGUCAAAUUCUUCCAAAUUAAUAAGGUAUUUCUUUGUCAUCUCCACAACUUCUUGCACGCUUGAACCUGUUGCCAGGACGAAGCCUAUUUUUCCUUUGCCCGAUGUCAAACCUGCAGUUUUCAUCACAUUCUUGAUGACAUCUUCCAAAUUCGCUUUGGUGUCUCCGUUGUCAUCGUAGGAAUCAACAGUAAUCACAAAGAGCAUCUGCCUUCUGCCAGGGCUGUAGAGAGCAGAUGGGCCACCCUUCAUAGAAUUCAUUUGACUUAUGGCGUUGACAAGUUUCCUCUGUCUAGUGCUUGCAUCUAGUUCCCCAUUGAGCUUGAAAUCUCCAUCCAUGGAGAAUCUCAAAGAUAUGUCAUCGACAUCACCUAGAGAAUCACUUAUAGGCUCUUCUGGAACUUUCAUUAUGUCGAGACUACUGGUUGGGUGUCGGUUUCUGCAGUGUUCAACAUGGGAAAGGUAGUUACGGCAGUGCUCUGGCCAUGAGAAACGGUGGAUGUUCUUGAGACCGUUCUUUCUGCACUCAGCCCAGAGAUGUUUGUUAGCUACGAGCUUUAGAAGGGCAUCAGAAAUGGCUUGUUGAUCAUGUGGGUCGACUAGGAGACCA
rnacentral:lncRNA from 1 species